rnacentral:rRNA from 1 species
GAAUCGUCCAAACGUUGUUCGGAUUCACUGGGUUUAAAGGGCGCGUAGGCGGUGCGUUAAGUCGGCGGUGAAAUACUUCGGCUCAACCGGAGAAUUGCCGCUGAAACUGGCGUGCUCGAGGGAGGUAGAGGUGCGUGGAACUUCCGGUGGAGCGGUGAAAUGCGUUGAUAUCGGAAGGAACACCUGUGGCGAAAGCGAUGCACUGGACCUCUUCUGACGCUGAGGCGCGAAAGCCAGGGGAGCGAACGGGAUUAGAUACCCCGGUAGUCCUGGCCAUAAACGAUGGGGACUAGAGAGUAGAUGCUCCGAUGUAUUUACUCUCGAAGCAAAAGUGGUAAGUCCCCCACCUGGGGAGUAUGGUCGCAAGGCUG